GAAAAGUUUUAUUCUUGCUUAUAUUUAUUUACUUUUUCUUUAUAUUAUAUGUAAGUUUUGUUUAACUAAAUGUUCUUUUUGCAGUAAUUUAAUUUAAUUAUCAAGUUAAUUUGGAAUUAGUAAUUGAUAUAGAAUUGACAUAGUUUGUGCCAGCAGUUGCGGUUAUACAAUAAAUACAAGUCAAUAUUUUCGGUCUCAUAGACACAUAUAUCUCUACCGUUGAUCUACAAAGUGUAAAGCUGGGAUUUUAAAUUUUUUUAUAAUUCUNNNNNNNNNNNNNNNNNNNNNNNNNNAAACAGAGGAUUAGAUACCCUAUUAUUUUAAGUGUUAAUUUUAUUUACCAGGGUAGUAUUAGUUAUGAUCUUAAAACCCAAAGAAUUUGGCGGUACUUUAUUCCAUUCAGAGGAACCUAUCCCAUAAUUGAUAGUACACGAUUAACUUUACUUAAUUUAUUUGUUUGUAUAUCUCCGUUAUCAGAAGAUCUUUUUAGAGUUAUAAUUUUCUUAAUUUAUAAUUAUAAAAUAUUUCAGGUCAAGGUGCAGUUUAUAAUUAAGAGGAGGUGGGUUACAAUAAAUUUUAUUUAUAACGAAUUUAAUAAUAAAUAAUUAUUAAUGAAGGUGGAUUUGAUAGUAAUUUAAUUUAUUUAAUUUAAUUGAUUUUGGUUCUAAGGUGUGUACACAUCGCCCGUCGCUCUCAUUUUUGAUUAUUAUAAUUUAUUUAUGUUUAAAUUAUUUUCAAUAUAAAUGAGAUAAGUCGUAACAUAGUAGGUGUACUGGAAAGUGUAUCUAGGAAGAAUUAA
rnacentral:ncRNA from 1 species